AACGGCCGUACCAUGCUGAAUAUACCGGUUCUCGUUAGAUCACCGAAGUCAAGCAUCAUUGGGCGCGGUCAGUACUUGGGUGGGUGACCACCUGGGAACGCUGCGUGCCGUU
rnacentral:rRNA from 1 species